rnacentral:rRNA from 1 species
ACUGCUCAGUAACACGUGGCUAACCUGCCCUUAGGAUAGGGACAACCCCGGGAAACUGGGGCUAAUCCCCAAUAGGCGAAGAACUCUGGAAUGAGUCUUUACCAGAAAGGAUGCUUACACUAUGCUUGUAGGCAUCGCCCAAGGAUGGGGCCGCGACCGAUCAGGUUGUUGGUGAGGCAAUGGCUCACCAAGCCUCUAACCGGUGCGGGCCGUGGGAGCGGGAGCCCGGAGAUGGGCACUGAGACAAGGGCCCAGGCCCUACGGGGCGCAGCAGUCGCGCAAACUUUGCAAUACACGAAAGUGUGACAGGGCUAUCCCGAGUGCCGUCCGCUGAGGAUGGCUUUUACCCAGUCUAGAACGCUGGGGGAAUAAGGAGAGGGCAAGUCUGGUGUCAGCCGCCGCGGUAAUACCAGCUCUCCGAGUGGUGUGGAUGUUUAUUGGGCCUAAAGCAUCCGUAGCUGGCCAAGUUAGUCCCUUGUUAAACCCACCGAAUUAAUCGUUGGAUUGCGGGGGAUACUGCUCGGCUAGGGGACGAGAGAGGCAGACGGUAUUUUCGGGGUAGGGGUGAAAUCCUAUAAUCCCGGGAAGACCACCAGUGGCGAAGGCUGUCUGCUAGAACGCGCCCGACGGUGAGGGAUGAAAGCUGGGGGAGCGAACCGGAUUAGAUACCCGGGUAGUCCCAGCUGUAAACGAUGCAGGCUAGGUGUUUGGACGGCCACGUGCCGUUCUAGUGCCGCAGGGAAGCUGUUAAGCCUGCCGCCUGGGGAGUACGGUCGCAAGAUUGAAACUUAAAGGAAUUGGCGGGGGAG